AGAGUUUGAUCCUGGCUCAGGACGAACGCUGGCGGCGUGCUUAACACAUGCAAGUCGAACGAUGAAACUAUGACGGAGGCUUCGGCCAACUGAGUGGUGGAUUAGUGGCGGACGGGUGAGUAACGCGUGAGUAACCUGCCUCUCAGAGAGGAAUAACAUUUGGAAACGAAUGGUAAUACCACAUAACAUUACGGGAUCGCAUGAUUCUGUAAUCAAAGAUUUUAUCGCUGAGAGAUGGACUCGCGUCCGAUUAGCUAGAUGGUGAGGUAACGGCUCACCAUGGCGACGAUCGGUAGCCGGACUGAGAGGUUGAACAGCCACACUGGGACUGAGAACGGCCCAGACUCCUACGGGAGGCAGCAGUAGAGAAUCUUCGGCAAUGGGGGGAACCCUGACCGAGCGAUACCGCGUGAUUGAAGAAAUACUUCGGUAUGUAAAAAUCUUUUACAAAGGAUGAAUGACCUUAGGAGGAAAUGCCUAAGGAGUGACAGUACUUUAGGAAUAAGCCCCGGCUAACUAUGUGCCAGCAGCCGCGGUAAUACAUAGGGGGCAAGCGUUAUCCGGAAUUAUUGGGCGUAAAGGGUACGCAGGCGGUCCUUUAAGUCAGAUGUGAAAUCUUACGGCUCAACCGUAAUUAGCAUUUGAAACUGGAGGACUUGAGUUAAGGAGAGGAAAGUGGAAUUCCUAGUGUAGCGGUGAAAUGCGUAGAUAUUAGGAGGAAUACCAGUGGCGAAGGCGACUUUCUGGACUUAUACUGACGCUGAGGUACGAAAGCGUGGGGAGCAAACAGGAUUAGAUACCCUGGUAGUCCAC
rnacentral:rRNA from 1 species